rnacentral:tRNA from 1 species
GGAGUUGUGGCUCAGUGGUAUAGAGCACCUGCCUGGCAUGCAUGAGGCACUGGGUUUGAUCCUCAGCACCA